rnacentral:snRNA from 1 species
GUGCUCGCUUCAGCAGCACAUAUACUAAAAUUGGAACGAUACAGAGAAGAUUAGCAUGGCCCCUGUGCAAGGAUGACAUGCAAAUUCGUGAAGGGUUCCAUAUUUAA